AAAAUUAUACAACUGGGUAUGUUCUUUGUAAACUUCUUUCGUUUCCACUUGUUUUGUUGGUCUUCUUUCUUUUCAUUCUUUUUAUCUACAAUGUGCUUGAACUUGAUC
rnacentral:ribozyme from 13 species